rnacentral:lncRNA from 9 species
GGGAGGCCGAGAAGCCCUUCAAGGACCCCGAUUACUUUCCUUUGAAUGAAAAACAACAACAACAACAACAACUGCUCCCUUCCCGCGCCCCCGCAUCCCCCCACCCCUUAGCCUCCGGGGACCCGCGCUUGGCGCAAUUGUCGCCCGGGACAGUAAACAGAGCUCAGUUGCCUCAACUUUCUCCGCACAUAAAAGUUCCCGGCGUGCGGGGAAAUUUGAAUAUUUGAUCAGCCCCUUUGAGUGACCCUCAUUAGCCUGGCGCCCUGCUAAGGCCCCAGCAUUGCAAGAAAGCUGCUGGGCCCGGCAUUUGUAUGCCUUGUUAGCGCCGCUUAAUGAAGCCUCCCCGACCGCUCAAAAGCGGCCUCCGGGCCGGCGGCGCGCACCUCUCGGCACCCGGCUCUGCCUAAUGAGCCCCACCGCCUGCCGAAGGCCCCUCCGCCCCCCACAUCCUCAAACAAGAGAAAUUUGGCUCCGUCUUGGACCACCGCACCUCCCACUGCCAGGCCCAAGAGACUGGGCACAAACUGAGCCUGGCUGGCUGUGGUGACCCAGCCCCAAGAGGAAGAGGUGGGAGACUUGGGGGAUGUGAGCCCUACGGGCUAGAGGGUGGUUUUGUGGCCUCAGGGUGUAGCCCAGGGAGUGACACUGCCAACCUUUCCCAAGAGGGCCAAGUUCAAAUCAAUUAGUCACCCCAGGUCCUUAAAGAACUGCAUCUGGACUAAUGUUGGGGUGGCAGAGGGCAGAUGCCCUGGGGAGGGUCAGCUUUCCAUCUUCCUCCAUCUUCAAGUUCCUUUGGACUCCACUGCCCAGGAGCUAGCUGCCCACUUCUUUGCAGAUCCCUUUAUGACAGCCAGACCUGGAGUGUUAGGGCUUGGGUUGAGAAGUCAUCAACACACUCCUCAAACUAUCAUUGUUCCCACCCACCAUCCACAGACCUCAGGCACAAAUGUUAUGACUGUGACACUGGAAAAAGCCAGGUACCACAGCCCACCCUGUUCCUGCCCCCGCCCCACCCCUAGCCAUUCUGGCUCUGGUCUCUCUUUAAUCACACUUCCAGUCUUUAAGAGGCCUGAAGAAAGCCCUCUAGGCAAGAGGCUACCCUGUACAGGAACCAGCUGGCUCCUAGGCUCAACUGGCAUGUCCCGCCCUAUUUCCAUCCCAGGAACUCCUAAUUCCAGACCAAACUGA